UUGUCUGUCUGUCUGUCUGUGUUCACGAGAGAAUAUUUAUUGGGUUCAAUUUAUGUCAUUGGAACACUUAUUGGGUACUUUUGACUUAUUGGGUAUACCCAAUAAUCCAAUUGCUUUCAUUGUGUUCCAGAGACAUUUACUGGGUAUUGGAUAACACAAACCCAAUAAAUGUUUGUCUGAGAUUUGUCUAUAAAAUCUAGUCCAUCUAAUGGACUUUACUGUUUGUUGAAAUCAAAUUCUUUCGGAAUGCCUUUGGUUUUAUCAUCAACAAUGAAGAAUUCAGAAGAGUUCCAAACAACUAUGACAUGUGAUAAGAUUAUCCAAUCAGAAAGUAGCAAUGGCUACUGAAACAGAUGCUUGAUGAACAUAUCACCUGGAACUAGAGAAAACUCAUUCAAGGCCUUAUUGCUAUCUGGAUAAGAAUAAUCAUGUGAUGAUGACCCUUUUGAUUUAGCAGAAUCAUGUGAUGACGACCCUUUUGAUUUAGCAGAAUCAUGUGAUGAUGACCCUUUUGAUUUAGCAGAAUCAUGUGAUGAUGACCCUUUUGAUUUAGCAGAAUCAUGUGAUGAUGACCCUUUUGAUUUAGCACCUGGAAGUAGAAGUCAAGCCUGGAUGAGCUUUAUAAUGAAUCACAUGAUGAUGAUGAUGAUCAGAGCUAUACUGACAUCAGGACAAAGAGCAAAAGUGGAUCGAGGCCUGGAUUCACAGUUUAAAGAUUGAAAGUUUUUGUGAACAGAAUUUAGGUUAGCAGCAUAGAAAAAUCACUGCAUGCAGACCUUUCAACUCUGGAAAAGAAACCUUGGACACGCAAGACCUUGUUGAGGCCAGGGGCAAGAAAUAGCAAGCAGUCUACCUGACCUACAACUGUGAAAUUCACUACAUUGCAUUUUCAAUACAGACACAUUUUGCCGGAAAACGAAUCUGACUUCACAUUACGAAAUUUUAACAAGAGAGAGGCAAUUUGAUGAGCUUUCAUUCAAGAGGUCCCUCGUUGCUGAAUGAAAAUUAAGGCUUUGGAGCUAUGAACUUGAACGUUAACAUUACCGCCUAUGGAAAUGCAUUAGUGGACUAUACCAAUAUUGAACUCCAUGCUGAUACCUUGUAUAUUGAAUUGGAACUUCAUCAAAGAUUAAAGCACAACAAUGAGGCACACUAGAUAGACUUUCAGUACAGACUUCACACCAUAAAAUUUUAACAGGAAAGAGGCAAUUUGAUGAGCUUUCAUUCAAGAGGUCCCUCGUUGCUGAACGAAAAAUAGGGCCGGAGCUAUGAACCGGAAUGUUUACAAUACCGCCUAUGGAAAAUGCAUCAGUGGACUAUACUCAGGCGUUUCAUGUGGAUAGUAAGCAACAAGAGUAAAAUGGUCAAACAAGAGGAAAAGGAAGUAAGGGAAUAUUUUUCAGACUGUUGCACAUCAAAUACACUCCCAUGAAUGAAAAUGUGCCCAAGACUUACAGAAUGUAACUAAAAGUGCAGAAGAAUAUUGUGGAAAAGGAUAUAUGGGAGACCAUAAAGAAAAAAUAUGGAAUGACCUUAAGAGAGUUAAAAAGUAAUAAAUUUGCUAAGAUUUGCACUUUUGAUUGAGUUAUGUCUUAGUGUACAUAUAACUUUGAUGAAAUUGUUAAUAAUAUAUGUGUGUGUUCAUAGAAAAGAACAUCACGCAUAUUCAUUGUAAUACCAGUAAAUAUUGUAUUGAAAUUGUUGAUCAUGUUAAGAUUUUCAAAGUUUAUGAUGAGUUAAGGUAUGUGAAUUGUAAUUCCACACAUACAAAAAUCUUUGUCACUGUUUUAAAAAAAAAACCCCGAAAUGUACCAGUAUGUGGAUAUGAACAUUUUUUGAAUAUUUUUGGAUGUGUAUUUUUAUGAGUCAGCCAAUAACUGUUGAAUAUUUAAACUUUCUCUGCAUUUUUGUAUGCGAGCUGAAUAUUAUGCCAGUUUUAAGGUUUAUGGAAUGGUCUGUUUGAUCUUCUUAACCAUACAUGUAAGAUGUCUGACAAUCUUUCUGCAAGAUUUGAUAAAUGUGUACAUGCAUAUGCAUUUGUGUAUAUUACAUAUUUGAUGAUAAUUGUUGAAAUUGUUGAUAAUGUUGAGAUUUUCAAAGUUUAUGACAGUUAUGUAAAUUGAUUAAUUUUGAGUUUAUGAUCAUAAAUUGUUGUUUAAAGUUCCUUUAAGUUGUUGUUUUUCACUUUCCUUAAUAAAAUAUUAA